AGGAGCAUGCACGGUAUCCAGACCAAAUGUCCACCACAGGCAGGUCCUCAGAAGCAGGAAACAAACUGGCCCCUUCACACGAUGCAGCAGUUCAUGGAUGGCGUGGAUGCUGAGGCAGACCAGCUCGAAGCCCUGGAUCUGGGCCUGAAAGGUGUCUGAGCUGGUCAGCCUGCCAGCUCAACGGAACUCACACCACCCAGGUGAGCUCUCCUGCCCUGCCCUGCCUGGCCCAUCCAGUGCCUCAGCUGGCAGGGGCAGAACCAGCUUAUCCACUCUCAUACCCUCAGGACUGGCUCAUCUGUGCCCACACCCCCAGAGACAGCUCUACUAUGUUGCUCAGGCGAGAUGCAGCAGGCUAGGAGCUAGGCCAAGCUCUCCUGCUCUCACUCCCUUGAGGCCAGCUUACCAGAAACCCAUACCCAAGCUGAGACAGCUCUACCCUGCUCCCCAGGAUGGCUCUCCCUAGUCCAUGCGACAGCACAGCAGACACAAGACAAGGCUGGCUUUCCAGCACUCAUGAGCUUGGGGCCAGCUCACCCGCAAUUCCAACAUCUAGGAACAGCUUUACUGUGCUGCCCAGGUGAGAUGCA